CGAGAAAUGGGGAGGCAUUUUCAUCGGCGACAAGCGGGAGACGGAUGUGACGGUUCGAGCGGAGAGCUUCGGGCGGAGGCGGAGGGGGGCUGGUGUGCGUGAUUCCGGCGAAGGAGAGGCAAGUAUCUUCCUUAGUAGUGGCAGAUAGAACUGCUGGGUGAUUUCUGUUUCAUGUUUAGUCUAAGCGAUCGCGGGAGAUUUUUGUGUUCUAAAUCUGGAAGUAAUUUAACGAUCUGAAGAUUCUAUAAGUUAAUUUGAUGAUUUCUGGUUUGAGGAUCAUGGAUUUUCGUCGGAGAUUGAUUUAUGUUCCCUAUUCCUCUCUCAACUGGUAACCCUAGCUUCGUCCACCGUUUUCGGUAGGUUCAAUGGGGUAUCUGGUGAUGUUUUCACUUGUGUGUUCUGAGUUGAUUGAGUAUGCCGUUCUUGCAUGAUCUAUAUUGUUCUUGUGGUGUGAUUUGAGUCGUUUGGGUAUUCUGUUCUUGCACUAUUUAUUUUGAUCUUCAGGGUGAUCUUAGUUUUCUGGAUAUCUUGUUCUUGCAUGAUCUAUUUGGUUCUUGUGUAUCCGGUGUAGAAUUUGAGAUGGGUUCCAGAGGUGUGUGUGUUCUUUUCUUCCUCGUUGUUCAAUGCUGUUAUGGAUUUCUAGUGGAAUUUAUUGUUUGUUCUUCAUUGAAUUUGGAGAGAGUUUAGUUUUAUGUUAUCUGUCAAAUCCAUUUACAUUAGUUCUUCUUGUAUAUGUAUGUAGUUACAUGUUCUGUUUGGGUAGAAGGAUUGAAUGAGGAAGAGGAGUUAAUCGAAAUCUGGAAUUUUUGGGAUUAAGAACUUGGGCUUGCAUUAUUUCUGGUUUUUAUUCUUUUUGUACUCAUUAAAUAUUAGAUUGGUUUAAACUAAUUGUUGAAUCUUGUAUAAGAAUUAAAUUAAAAUUCAGAUUCUAAUAUUGUGGAGAAUGGUGGUGGAAUAUGACAUUUAUUGCGAUCCUAUCGUUUGGAUUGUGUUUCAAUGGUUUGUACUUGGAGAGGGGUAGGUGGUAACUGUUUUCUCUAUCUAUUUAUCAUCACAAUUUGGAUCACUGCAGUAUGUGUUUAUCUUUAGAAGUGUUACCUGUAUUUGCUUGCACAUGUGUAGCUUAAGAUUAGUUGUUUCAAUGAAUGUUAAAGCUUUAGGCCCUGGUGGUUUCCAGAAUAAACUUAAUGAAUAGUGUGAUGGGAUGUGAUUUAGUUGUGAAUUUUAUUGAUAUUUUAUAUAAUUAAAGGAUAUCUGAUCUUGGGAUUUUGGUUUUUGGUUUUGUGAGGUUUGUAUGAUUAAUUGAGCUGUUUCCAGUGUUUCUUUAGUCUGUAGAAACAGAGCAUGUCUUACUGAAUCUGACUCAUAUGAUUUGGUAAAUUGGCAUCAUGUGGUGAUUGGUUUACUUCAUAUUAUAAUUGUUUAUGUAGUUCUAUUUGCUUCCGUUCCGGACCUAAGUUUUCAGAUAUGGGAUUCUAUGUGGUAUGUUCAUAAUUGUGUUCGUUUAUGUUGUACUAUACAUGGCUGAUAUAAGAGUUCUCUAGUUGUAGGAACCAGACCUGUUCUAGUCAAUUAUAAUGUACCAUUGGUUGAUGUAUAGGUAAGUGUUUAUAAGAGUUCUCUAGCUGUAGGAACCGGACAUCUACUUGUCAAUUAUAAUGUACCAUUGGUUGAUGUAUAGGUAAGUGUUUAUAAGAGUUCUCAAGAUGUAGGAACAGGACAUGUACUAGUCAAUUAUAAUGUACCAUUGGUUGAUGUAUAGGUAAGUGUUUAAGAAUGAAUUAUGUUCUCAGAUGGUUACUUUACAAUUGCUGUGAUUGCAACAUGUUAUAGUACAAGCUGUCUCUGUAAUGGUAGGGUUUAAUAGAUUAUGGAAGAUAAGUGUGAAUAGUGAUAGAACUGAAAUGUUAUAAAUAGGACGUGUGGACCUUUCCAAGUAAAGGGUAAUUAGAUAAAUAUGGGCCUUAGGUGGUGCCGAUACGGCUUGGGUUUCUUGGGAUGAGCUCCAGAGGGCUCUUCCAAAUAUGACCGAGGACCGAGGACCGAGGACCGAGGACCGAGGACCGAGGACUGAGGACUGAGGACAUUCACCACGGUUAGGGAGUGGUAUUGAGACGGAGAUAGAAGACGCGAAGGCGGAGUGAUCUUGAGGAGAAGAUGGGAUGCAAACAAAACACACUGUUCCCGAUUGUUAUACUUAUUAUUCAAUUGGAACUAGUAAUUGUAACAAGGAUGAAGACGUUUUGUAAAUAAAAAUUCAUUGCAAUAUUUAACUUGUAAAUUCUAGUUAUAGGUUGUUUCAGUUGGUAUUAGAGCAAUCGCUCCUGAAAGGUAGUGUGUGCAUUGAAUUCUAACUUCAACUCGGACACGGCCGCCUUCAAGUCUGUAAGAUUUAUUCUUGCACAUACCUGAAUUAUUGUUGUGGUUA